rnacentral:lncRNA from 1 species
GGUUGGAUAUUAGGAGGACAUUUUUCACACAGAGGGUGGUGAUUCACUGGAACAGGUUGCUCAAGGAGGUUGUGGAUGCCCCAUCCCUGGAGACAUUCAAGGCCAGGCUGGAUGUGGCUCUGGGCAGCCUGGUCUGGUGGUUGGUGACCCUGCACAUAGCAGGGAGGUUGAAACUAGAUGAUCAUUGUGGUCCUUUUCAACCCAGGCAGGCCAUUCUGUGAUUUAAAAGGCAAUCUAGCACAUGGAACAUCUGACUGAUCUGAUUUUCUAUCUUCUAAGCGUUUUAUGAAUUCUUAUCUGUAUGUUGAAUAUUUUCUAGCCAAAUACAAGUGUCACCAGAGGACCUAGGAAUUGGACUUCAGGUUGGGGUCAAAUAGAAGUUUGUAACAAUAUAUAAUCAUAUGCAUGGGUUGGGCACUCUCCUCAUUUUCUCAAAUUUCUUCAAUUGCUGCAACUCUGAUUUCCUCAGUGCUGGAUCCGUCCAGCCCUCCUGUAUGCGGAAAGUUAUUCUGAGAGAGAGGAAUGGGCAAACUCAGGCUUCAGAUCCGUUUAGAAAAAUGUCAAUGGAUGAACAAAAUGUGAUGUGUAGGUGCUAUUGAAACAUCAGUAGAGAGAUUAAGGCAUCCAGUUACUGGAAGGGAGGUGACUAAGACUUUUUUGUAGUUUUGAAGACAGAAGAGGAAAUUACAGAAGAG